GAUGAACGCUGGCGGCGUGCUUAAUACAUGCAAGUCGAACGGAAAGGCGCUGCUUUUGUGGGGUGCUCGAGUGGCGAACGGGUGAGAAAAACGCGAGUAACCCGCCCUUGACAUUGGGAUAACUUCUGGAAACAGGGGAUCAUACAGGAUAGGAGCUCCUGCUGCACGGUGGGGGUUGGAAAGUUUCGGCGGUUGGGGCUGGAAUCGCGGCUUAUCAGCUAGUUGGUGGGGUAGUGGCUUACAAAGGUUUUGACGGGUAGCCGGCCUGAGAGGGUGACCGGCCACAUUGGGACUGAGGUACGGCCCAGACGCCUACGGGAGGCAGCAGUGGGGAAUAUUGCGCAAUGGGCGGAAGCCUGAUGCAGCAGCGCCGCGUUCGGGAUGACGGCCUUCGGGUUGUAAACCGCUUUCGCCUGUGACGUAGCCUGAGUGACGGUAAUGGGUAAGGAAGCACCGGCUAACUACGUG
rnacentral:rRNA from 1 species